rnacentral:tRNA from 1 species
GAAGCGGUGGCUCAAUGGUAGAGCUUUCGACUCCAGUUAAACUCUGGAUUUAUUCGGAAACAAUUGCAAUCGAAGGGUUGCAGGUUCAAUUCCUGUCCGUCUCA